rnacentral:ncRNA from 1 species
AAUCAUUCAAAUUGUGGAGAAAGUUAUUCGUGAAAAUGACAAACUUGUCAGAAAAAUACAGAAAAGUGGAGCAAAAAGACAUGCCACUAAAUUGCGUGCAGCUAUACUUAGUGAAUGUAAUCGACGAAUUGAAGCUGAUGAAAUAAUUAGACGAAAGCUUUUGUCAGGAAGUUAAAGGUGUAAUGAAAUGUUUCGUGAAAGAACUUAUUUGUUUUAUUUAUUGAUAAUUUUUGCUUUUUUUAAUACUGCAAAUAAUGAAUAUUUGCAGAAUGUGGGAGACGAUUUUCUCUACGAUGCUUUCGCUGCGAAAGCAUUUGCCAAGAAUGUCUUCAUUAAUCAAGAACGAAAAUCAGAGGUUCGAAGGCGAUAAGAUACCGCCCUAGUUCUGACCGUAAACGAUACCAACUAGCGUUCCGUCGGCGGUAAAUACGCCUUGACGGGCAGCUUCCCGGAAACGAAAGUUUUUCGGUUCCGGGGGAAGUAUGGUUGCAAAGCUGAAACUUAAAGAAAUUGACGGAAGGGCACCACCAGGAGUGGAGCCUGCGGCUUAAUUUGACUCAACACGGGAAAACUCACCUGGCCCGGACACCGUGAGGAUUGACAGGUGAAAUUCUUGGACCGUAGCGAGACGUACGACUGCGAAAGCAUUUGCCAAGAAUGUCUUCAUUAAUCAAGAACGAAAGUCAGAGGUUCGAAGGCGAUCAGAUACCGCCCUAGUUCUGACCGUAAACGAUACCAACUAGCGUUCCGUCGGCGGUAAAUACGCCUUGACGGGCAGCUUCCCGGAAACGAAAGUUUUCGG